UACGUAGGGGGCGAGCGUUGUCCGGAAUCAUUGGGCGUAAAGAGCGCGUAGGCGGCCCGACAAGUCCGCUGUGAAAGUCAGGGGCUCAACCCUUGAAUGCCGGUGGAUACUGUCGGGCUAGAGUCCGGAAGAGGCGAGUGGAAUUCCUGGUGUAGCGGUGAAAUGCGCAGAUAUCAGGAGGAACACCGAUGGCGAAGGCAGCUCGCUGGGACGGUACUGACGCUGAGGCGCGAAAGCGUGGGGAGCAAACAGG
rnacentral:rRNA from 1 species